AUCACUCUUCUGUAUCUUAGCUCUUCUUUCUUUUUCUUCUUCUUCUUCUUCUUCUUCUUCUUCACUUUAUAUCGUCUCCGUUGAUUCUAUCUUCUCAAUUUUGGUGAUGGUUUAACCCAUCCUCCAGUCCGAAGUAUUUUGAUUUGAUUUGAUUUUUUUUUUAACUUCACACUGAGUUUUCGUAAAUCUGUUGUUAGUAUGUGAUUAUUAUCAUCAUCAUCAUCUAGCUUUGGUUCUCGAAUUCGAAAUUUCACUUCGUUAAUUAAAGACUCUUUUUUUUUUUCUUUCUUUCUGGGCUGAUAAAUUUGAUUUGUAGAGUGGGGUGAUUCCGUGGAUUUACCACCAAAGGGUGGGUUCAGCUUCGAUCUGACGCAAAAGGGUCUUAAAAGCUCCUCCGUCGUUUCUCAAGACUGGAUCAACUAUUGUUUUGUUGAUAUACAAGGUCUGUGUGUUUGAGUGUUUCUAUCUCACAUGUACUGCUGUGGUGCAGGAACCGCUGAAGCAGUAACUGGGAGACACGAAGGAAUCAAGUUGGUUUACAUUUUCCUGAGAGACUGAGUGAAAUCAUUAACCUCACAUUUACAUUUUCGACUUUGUUGAAUUUUUUUAUGUUUUAACGAUGUAGUUGCAUCCAGAUUUGGCUUGAAAUCAUUGUGAUUAAUGAUUAUGGAUGAUUCGGUUUUGAAA